AGCUAGUUGGUAGGGUAAAGGCUUACCAAGGCGACGAUCCAUAGCUGGUUUGAGAGAAUGGCCAGCCACACUGGGACUGAGACACGGCCCAGACUCCUACGGGAGGCAGCAGUGGGGAAUAUUGGACAAUGGGGGGAACCCUGAUCCAGCAAUGCCACGUGUGUGAAGAAGGCCUUAGGGUUGUAAAGCACUUUCAGCGGGGAGGAAUGCACGUUGAUUAAUACUUGACGUGCUAGACGUUACCUGCAGAAGAAGCACCGGCUAACUCCGUGCCAGCAGCCGCGGUAAUACGGAGGGUGCGAGCGUUAAUCGGAAUUACUGGGCGUAAAGGGCGCGUAGGCGGAUGAUUAAGUUGGAUGUGAAAUCCCAGGGCUCAACCUUGGAACUGCAUCCGAAACUGGUUAUCUGGAGUAUGGUAGAGGAAAGUGGAAUUUCAGGUGUAGC
rnacentral:rRNA from 1 species